rnacentral:rRNA from 1 species
GACGAAGGAUCCAAGCGUUAUCCGGAUUUAUUGGGUUUAAAGGGUGCGUAGGCGGAUUGAUAAGUCAGUGGUGAAAGCCUGCAGCUUAACUGCAGAACUGCCAUUGAUACUGUCAAUCUUGAAUAUGUUUGAUGUGGGCGGAAUAUGACAUGUAGCGGUGAAAUGCUUAGAUAUGUCAUAGAACACCGAUUGCGAAGGCAGCUCACAAAGCCAUUAUUGACGCUGAGGCACGAAAGCGUGGGGAUCAAACAGGAUUAGAUACCCUGGUAGUCCACGCUGUAAACUUUGAUCACUCGCUGUUGGCGAUACACUGUCAGCGGCUAAGCGAAAGCGUUAAGUGAUCCACCUGGGGAGUACGAUCGCAAGAUUGAA